rnacentral:rRNA from 1 species
GAUGAACGCUAGCUACAGGCUUAACACAUGCAAGUCGAGGGACCGGCGCACGGGUGAGUAACAAGUAUCCAACCUGCCCUUUACUCGGGGAUAUCCUUUCGAAAGAAAGAUUAAUACCCGAUAUAAAGGAUGGGGAUGCGUUCCAUUAGGUUGUUGGUGAGGUACCGGCUCACCAAGCCUUCGAUGGAUAGGGGUUCUGAGGGGAAGGUCCCCCACAUUGGAACUGAGACACGGUCCAAACUCGUACGGGAGGCAGCAGUGAGGAGUAUUUGUCAAUGGGCGUUAGCCUGAACCAGCCAAGUAGCGUGCAGGAUGACGGCCUAUGGGUUGUAAACUGCUUUUGUAUGGGGAUAGGUACCAUACGAAUAAGGACCGGCUAAUUCCGUGCCAGCCGCCGCGGUAAUAC